AUUGAACGCUGGCGGCAUGCUUUACACAUGCAAGUCGAACGGUAACAGGCCUUCGGUUGCUGACGAGUGGCGAACGGGUGAGUAAUGCAUCGGAACGUGCCCAGAGGUGGGGGAUAACGCAGCGAAAGCUGUGCUAAUACCGCAUGUGAUCUGAGGAUGAAAGCGGGGGACCAGGCAGCAAGGUUUGGCCUCGCGCCUUUGGAGCGGCCGAUGUCAGAUUAGGUAGUUGGUGGGGUAAAGGCCUACCAAGCCGACGAUCUGUAGCUGGUCUGAGAGGACGACCAGCCACACUGGGACUGAGACACGGCCCAGACUCCUACGGGAGGCAGCAGUGGGGAAUUUUGGACAAUGGGCGCAAGCCUGAUCCAGCAAUGCCGCGUGAGGGAAGAAGGCCUUCGGGUUGUAAACCGCUUUUGUACGGAACGAAAAGGCUCUGGCUAAUACCUGGGGAUGAUGACGGUACCGGAAGAAAAAGCACCGGCUAACUACGUG
rnacentral:rRNA from 1 species